UAUACGUACAUCAUUAUUUUGCCAGGAACAAUCUGUUGUUUGGUAGUCUUUACCAUACAUUUACAUGUUAUGUUUUAUGGAUGAACUGUAACUGACUUUGACUGACUUGGAGACACAUUGGAGACUGUACUGUACUGUAUAGGAGACUGCAAAGGGUUGACAGGUGUGCAAUUGGCGCCACACAAAAACAAAAGCAAGAACAUGUAUUUGCUUUUUCUUCUCUACAUUUAUCAUCAUCAUCUGCCUGGCCUGUCAUGUUAGCUGAGCUGAAGUACUGGACGACGAAGGAAUCUGCUAGUGAGCCGGCACCAGGGUAGAGAACCGCUCUACUGCCUGAGGGGAGAGAGGGGAGGACAGGUUCCCCAACAACGUCUAAGGGACGGACCUCCAUAGAUUACGGAUAAUCAUUAAUGUAUCGUUAAUAGUGAUUAGUGAUGGUAGCAUCCAUAUUAAUGUAGAAGUGUUCAGAAACAUAUUAGAUUCUGAUUUACAAUAAAAGU